rnacentral:tRNA from 1 species
ACAAUUUUAUUAUAAAAAAAAUAUUAAUGAUUUCCGAUCAGUUGAUCCCUGUUGGGAAAUUGUA